CAGUAUCUUCGGAGAAAGGAUCGUUCUUUUUGUAUGGUCAAGAAAGCUAUAGUUACCCGCCUCAACAAAUCUGCAGUUCUGACUUCGCUUAUCCUCAACCGCGGUGCUAUUCGCAGACGCCGCCAGAUACGCCCAUCCACGGAGGUUCUCGGAAGGAACCCACCUUAGCGGAUGAGUUUACUUGUAUAGAACAGGUGGUAGAGGCUCUUGCACUGGCGGGCCUAGAAUCUUGUAAGCUAAUCGUCGGUAUCGACUUCACCAGGAGUAAUCAAUGGACAGGAGCUGAAUCCUUUGGGGGAAGAAGCCUACAUGCCAUUGGUUAUCAGCCAAACCCGUAUGAGCAAGUGAUAACCACCAUAGGAAAAAC